CUGGAUAACUCGAGAAAAAAGGAAUUGAUUAGAAGGACAUAGGUCAUUCAUUAUAAUCACCAGAAAAUGACAGAUCAGGUAUAGAAAAUAAACAACCACUAACAGUGAGCCUGAUGGCCAAGACCAAGGGCAAGCUGUAUUCUCAUUAGGGCCUUACUGCUGACACCUAGUAUACCUAGACCUCCCCGCGCCUUUAGGCUCCUGACUUCACUGCUACCCUCAAGAAUAAUCUAAUGCCUGCCUCCCUGAAGACGCGAAGUCCUAACUGAGACUUUCUGAUUGGCUGAGCCUAGGUCAUGUGCUCAAGUGCCAGUCCCAGAAGACUUGGGAGAGGGAGUUAUCUGACACCCUUUGCCUUUCCCCUUGAGAAAUCUACUAAGAGCCACACAAAGGAGAACUGCUGAUAAAUAGAGAGUUCAAUGAUCCAUAGCCAGAAAAAGAAGAAAUGAGGACUAGUUACCACUGUAGGAACAGAGAAGCCUUGUGUGUGUGUGUGAGUUGCUCAGUCGUGUCCAACUCUUUGUAACCCCAUGGACUGAGGCCCGCCAGGCUCCUCUGUACAUGAAAUUCUCCAGGGUCCUUUGGUACACUCUCGUCUUCAGAGGUUGGGAUUGUUUCUUGACCUACUCUCAACCCUUCCACCAUCUUGGACAGCAGGGCAAGGAGCUAGGAGGUGCCACCAACUUUGGUCCAAUUCAUAAUACUCUGGCUCUGUGGUAACGUCAGUCUCCUGAAAGAAGAAUAUUGGCCUCAACAGUGGAGAUUCCAGUCUCUAACUACAGUGUGCAUAGAAUAAUCUGGAAAGUUUGGUGAACAUGCAGAUAUCCAAGUUCAGCUCCUGGAAAUGUUUAUUCAAUAAAUGUGAGGUGAGCUGCAGCUUGUUGCAAUAGUCAACAAAUGGUCAGAUUUUUGUGAUAGAGGUGGCUUCGGGAUGAUCUUUGAAGAAACCUUGAAACUCUCAAGCUACUGACCUUGUGUGGUUUCUACUUUGGUCAUGAUUCAAAGUCUAUGUCCAGGCUACACAAAAUGGCAUGGAAUGUCAGAAGAGAGAGAUGUUACCACACAGCUGGACAAAAACAGAGAAGAAAAACCAAGAAGGCAGGAAUUUUAGGACAUUUUAACUGAACAGUCGCCAACUGCUUCAUCCAUCUUUCUCUGCUAUUUUAGGCACACUUUAAUUUGGGCAGACAUCUUUUAAAAGUGCUUUUCAAAUGUGAUACUUAAAUAAAGGGAAAAGGUAGCUGAUAAACAAGUAAAUGAUUACACAUGAGUAAAUGUCAAUAAAUUCUUCACCUUGAUCCUGAAUAAUAACAUUUUCUCCUUACAUCAAGUCCUGGGCCACCAGAGAUGGUGUAGCAGAUUCCAGUUCAUGUUUUUUCAGAUCCUCUAGACUUACCGGAAA